GAAUAUGAGGGUGAUCAGGUUGUGACAUCUGUCACUCCUUUGAUCACUGGGUCUGAUCUGGUUGGCUAGGCAUGUGUCCCUUUCCUCCCUCACUGCUUUAUGUGUGUGCCUUCGGAAGUUGGGUGCUUAGUCAAACAAGACAACCUUCCCUUAUAGGGGAGGACUAUUCUCCAGUCUCCAGUAGCUAUACUCCUUUGCUGGAAACAUCAAGCAAACUCUCAAGAUUAGUGCUAGGGCUAGAGAGAUGACUCAGUGGGUAAAAGUACUUUCCGCGAUGGCCAACUCUCUGUGUUCAGUC
rnacentral:snRNA from 1 species